UGCCACCAACAAGCUAUGAGUACUGCUACCUUUUUCCACUCAAACUUUACUCUCAAAUUUUCCUCAUUGUUUCUUCUCUUCAAAAAUCUCUUUGUGCUGCAACUCUUGCUCCCAAAUCUCUUGAAUCUUAAGCUAACCGCAUAUCAUUCUAAUUCCAUUAUCUUUUACUUUGCAAUGGAAGAUUUUUUUAAAACCAUACUACAAAAGGAUGCCGCUCUUCUUCAUAGGCCACCGCGGAUGAUGUUAUUGCAAAAUAUUCCCUCGAGGAUUUUAUUUCGGG
rnacentral:lncRNA from 1 species